rnacentral:lncRNA from 1 species
CGUAGUUGCCAAGGCUGCCAGGGGCACAGAGUGGGCGAGGUCGGGGCCGGGCGGGGCGCGGAGGGGCAGGGGCGGGGCCGGGAGCGCGGCCGGACCCGCGGGUGGGGGCCGGGCGGGGACCCGCAGCCCAGGGAAGCAGCCGGAGUCCGGUUCGGGGCCGCUCCCGUGGAGGAGGUGGCCGGGCUCCCUGCCUGCCGCGGUGCUGCUGCGCACCUGGGCGCCGUGCGCCUACCGGGAGCCGCGCGGUGCCGAAGCGGGUGGCGGCGCGGACUGGCCUGGGGCAUCGCUCUUCCCGGGCGCCGUACCCUGCGGAGCCUCGCCGCGUUACUCCAGGAGCCAUCGUAUCGUCGGGCAGGUUUUCUUCUAAAAUGGGAGCAGAAAAGACUUCUUAGCCAGCUUUAUUCUUUGAAAAUUUUAGAAGGUGAAGGCUACCAUGAUCACUUUCAAUUAAGACUGUCUCCCUCCACUGGAACAGUGACAGCUCUUUCCUGGUGGUAUUUCUAAGCUGAUACGCAGGAUGUUGAAGAGACUAUCUCACAUAAGAAUCUUGAAAGGCUGCAGGGACUUUUUUGCCACUGAGAACUAAGGCAUGACUAUUAUCCAGGAAGUGAGUGGUAAGUUUUAAUUAUAAAGAAAUCUAUGUCAACCCUAAAGUGGGCAUUAAACAUUCUUGUCAAGCUCUAAAGCAUGAAAUAACAAGAAAUACUUGCUUCUCAGCAGUGUAUCUGACUUAAAUUUUGUUUCAGAUGCAGCUGAAUCAGCUCUAUUUUCUUACUGAACUUUGAUUUGUAGCAUUAGUACUGUGGAGGUUUCAUGAAAAC